rnacentral:lncRNA from 1 species
AUUAAUAUUAGGAAUAAAGGAAUUAUUCAGUAUCUUUGUUAGUAGUAAUGAGAAAAAUCAUAUGCUUGUCUCUAAAUAUCUCAAAGAGAAAUAAAAGUUCACAUUCACUUUUUGACCUUUAAACAAUAUUCAUGUAAUAGUAAUAGAUUUAUAUGACUAAACAAGUUAUUAUAAUCCAAAAUUAACUUCAUGAUAAUAUCAAAAUUAAAUAGAACUUAUGAAUAUUAUUACCUUUACUAUAUUUCUUUUUCUGUGUAUAUCCUAUCCAUCUCAAUUAGAUAAGAAACAAGAAAAGUUAGAAAAUAUUUACCAACAUUAUCCUUUCUUUUUCAGAUUAUUCCCUGAGCUAUAAACCCUCUCUGUUUCAUGUCCUCUUCCUCCCCAGUUCUCAACCAAAAUGAGCAGUGUGCAUAUUUUAUUAAGUCUCUUCAU